GUUUGUUAAAUGAUCCGUCUUCUGGAGUAGUGAGGGUGUUGUGUCAUCCUAGGACAAAUUUUUGGGGGCGGAGCAAGAUGGCCGAAUAGGAACAGCUCCAGUCUCCAACUCCCAGCGCAAGCAACACAGAAGACCGGUGAUUUCUGCAUUUUCAACUGAGACUGGUGUAAAUAUAUUUAUGGACUGGUGAUUGGGAAUCACUACUUAGAAGAUAAAAAUAUAAUCUCCAUUUCUAAUCACUUAUAAUUUUGUUGAAUAUUUUUAUUUUUUUCUAUCUGGAACUUAUGUUUAAAUCUUUUUUAAAAGUUUCAAAUAAAACUGUGGUUUCCUCCAUGUUGAAGAAAGCU